AGGAUGAACGCUGGCGGCGUGCUUAACACAUGCAAGUCGAACGAUGAACCUCACUUGUGGGGGGAUUAGUGGCGAACGGGUGAGUAACACGUGAGUAACCUGCCCUUAACUCUGGGAUAAGCCUUGGAAACGGGGUCUAAUACCGGAUAUUUACGAUUGAUCGCAUGGUUGGUUGUGGAAAGAUUUAUUGGUUUUGGAUGGACUCGCGGCCUAUCAGCUUGUUGGUGAGGUAAUGGCUUACCAAGGCGACGACGGGUAGCCGGCCUGAGAGGGUGACCGGCCACACUGGGACUGAGACACGGCCCAGACUCCUACGGGAGGCAGCAGUGGGGAAUAUUGCACAAUGGGCGCAAGCCUGAUGCAGCGACGCCGCGUGAGGGAUGAAGGCCUUGGGUUGUAAACCUCUUUCAGUAGGGAACAAGGCCGGCUUUUGGUGGUUGAGGGUACCUGCAGAAGAAGCGCCGGCUAACUACGUGCCAGCAGCCGCGGU
rnacentral:rRNA from 1 species